AGUGAACGCUGGCGGUAGGCCUAACACAUGCAAGUCGAACGGCAGCACAGUAAGAGCUUGCUCUUACGGGUGUCGAGUGGCGGACGGGUGAGGAAUACAUCGGAAUCUACUUUUUCGUGGGGGAUAACGUAGGGAAACUUACGCUAAUACCGCAUACGACCUACGGGUGAAAGCAGGGGAUCUUCGGACCUUGCGCGAUUGAAUGAGCCGAUGUCGGAUUAGCUAGUUGGCGGGGUAAAGGCCCACCAAGGCGACGAUCCGUAGCUGGUCUGAGAGGAUGAUCAGACACACUGGAACUGAGAAACGGUCCAGACUCCUACGGGAGGCAGCAGUGGGGAAUAUUGGACAAUGGGCGCAAGCCUGAUCCAGCCAUACCGCGUGGGUGAAGAAGGACUUCGGGUUGUAAAGCCCUGUUGUUGGGAAAGAAAAGCAGCAGGUUAAUACCCCGCUGUUCUGACGGUACCCAAAGAAUAAGCACCGGCUAACUUCGUG
rnacentral:rRNA from 1 species